rnacentral:rRNA from 1 species
GACGAACGCUGGCGGCGUGCCUAAUACAUGCAAGUAGAACGCACAGUUUAUACCGUAGCUUGCUCCACCAUAAACUGUGAGUUGCGAACGGGUGAGUAACGCGUAGGUAACCUGCCUGGUAGCGGGGGAUAACUAUUGGAAACGAUAGCUAAUACCGCAUAAUAUUGAUUAUUGCAUGAUAAUUGAUUGAAAGAUGCUAUUGCAUCACUACCAGAUGGACCUGCGUUGUAUUAGCUAGUAGGUGAGGUAACGGCUCACCUAGGCGACGAUACAUAGCCGACCUGAGAGGGUGAUCGGCCACACUGGGACUGAGACACGGCCCAGACUCCUACGGGAGGCAGCAGUAGGGAAUCUUCGGCAAUAGACGAAAGUCUGACCGAGCAACGCCGCGUGAGUGAAGAAGGUUUUCGGAUCGUAAAGCUCUGCUGUAAGAGAAGAACGGGUGUGAGAGUGGAAAGUUCACACUGUGACGGUAUCUUACCAGAAAGGGACGGCUAACUACGUG